CCUACGGGAGGCAGCAGUGAGGAAUAUUGGUCAAUGGACGCAAGUCUGAACCAGCCAUGCCGCGUGCAGGAUGACGGCUCUAUGAGUUGUAAACUUCUUUUGUACGAGGGUAAACCCCGAUACGUGUAUCGGGUUGAAAGUAUCUUACGAAUAAGGAUCGGCUAACUCCGUGCCAGCAGCCGCGGUAAUACGGAGGAUCCGAGCGUUAUCCGGAUUUAUUGGGUUUAAAGGGUGCGUAGGGGGUUUGUUAAGUUAGAGGUGAAAUGUUGGGGCUCAACCCUAAAACUGCAUCUAAUACUGUUGGACUAGGGAAAAGUUGGGGUAGGCGAAAUGUAGGUGGUAGCGGUGAAAUGCUUAGAGAUCAUAAGGAACACCAAUUGCAAAGGCGGCUUACAAAACUAUAUCGGAAGUGGAGGCACGAAAGCGUGGGUAGCAAAAAGGAUUAGAUACCCCGUAGUC
rnacentral:rRNA from 1 species